rnacentral:lncRNA from 1 species
ACAAGGCAGAUGGGUUUUAUAGCUCUUGUCUCUUUUAUUUUUAAUUUGUAGUAUUGAAUAUAUUGAUGUGUGGCUGUGGGGAAGUCAAACGGUGCAGUUGUGAGAGGACCAUUGAGCUGAGGACAAGGCAUUUUUAUUUUUUAUUUUUUUAUUCCUUUUUUUUUGGAAUUGGUAGUUUGUGUACCUCCAUUUAUUGUUUGAUUCGAAUAUUCGAAAAUGCAUAUUUUAUUUUGAGUGGGAUGCCGAUUCUAUGGGUUAUUGUUUUGUUGUAACUAUGUUUGGUAGAACAACGGUUGUUAAUUUAUUUUGUACGUGGUUGACGGCGUAUUUAUG